UCCCAAAGUAGUUCUCCGGCAGGGCCAGCAGUGAGUGCCGUAAAAGCAGGUAGCUGCUAUUUGUUGUUUAAAACUUGGUGUAGAAUGCAGCCAGCUGCUUUGGCAAAACAGUAUUGGAGUACUUUGUUCCACGAAUACUUUGUUUUUAAUAUUUAUUUAUUAUGUAUACAAUAUUCUAUCUGGUGCCCUCUUCUGGCCUGCAGGCAUACAUGGAGGCUGAACACUGUAUACAUAAUAAAUAAAUAAAUCUUUAAGAAAAAAAAAAAGAAAGAAAA